rnacentral:rRNA from 1 species
CCUGGUAGUCCACGCCCUAAACGAUGUCAACUAGUUGUUGGGGAUUCAUUUCCUUAGUAACGUAGCUAACGCGUGAAGUUGACCGCCUGGGGAGUACGGUCGCAAGAUUAAAACUCAAAGGAAUUGACGGGGACCCGCACAAGCGGUGGAUGAUGUGGAUUAAUUCGAUGCAACGCGAAAAACCUUACCUACCCUUGACAUGGUCGGAAUCCYGCUGAGAGGUGGGAGUGCUCGAAAGAGAACCGGCGCACAGGUGCUGCAUGGCUGUCGUCAGCUCGUGUCGUGAGAUGUUGGGUUAAGUCCCGCAACGAGCGCAACCCUUGUCCUUAGUUGCUACGCAAGAGCACUCUAAGGAGACUGCCGGUGACAAACCGGAGGAAGGUGGGGAUGACGUCAAGUCCUCAUGGCCCUUAUGGGUAGGGCUUCACACGUCAUACAAUGGUCGGAACAGAGGGUUGCCAACCCGCGAGGGGGAGCUAAUCCCAGAAAACCGAUCGUAGUCCGGAUUGCACUCUGCAACUCGAGUGCAUGAAGCUGGAAUCGCUAGUAAUCGCGGAUCAGCAUGCCGC